CUAAAGUAGUAAUAGUUAUGUUCUUGAAACUUAAAAAAUUUGGCGGUAUUUUAGUCUAUUCAGAGGAAUCUGUCCUGUAAUCGAUAAUCCACGGUGGACCUUAUUUAAAUUAGUAUUUCAGUUUGUAUACCGUCGUUAUAAGAAUAUUUUAUCAGAAUAAUAAUUUUCUAGAAUUUUUAUAAAAAUUUAUAUCAGAUCAAGGUGCAGCUUAUGUUUAAAUAGAGAUGGAUUACAUUAAAUUAAUUUAUAUGGAUUAGUUAUUGAAAUAAAACUAUGAAAGUGGAUUUGAAUGUAAAAUUAUAAAGAUUAAUAAUUUGAUUUUAGCU
rnacentral:rRNA from 1 species